AGGCUGAAACUACGCCUACAUGAAGCUGGAAUUGCUAGUAAUCACAGGUCAGCAUACUGUGGUGAAUACGUUCCCGGGCCUUGUACACACCGCCCGUCACACCAUGAGAGUUGGGAAUACCCGAAGCCUGUGAGCUAACUUUUAGAGGCAGCAGUCGAAGGUAGAAUCAAUGAUUGGGGUGAAGUCGUAACAAGGUACC
rnacentral:rRNA from 1 species